GGUCAAGCAAACUCAGGGCGUAUGGGGGAUGUCUUGGCGUCAGAAGUCUUUGAAGGGCGUGGAAGACUGCGAAAAGCUUGGGGGAGCUGUCAAACGAGCGUUGAUCCCGAGAUUCCCGAACUGGCUUGGUCUGAAUACAUAGGACCAGGUGGGUAACCCGGUGAACUGAAACAUCUAAGUAACCGGUGGAAGAGAAAGAAAAAUCGAUUCCCUCAGUAGCGGCGAGCGAACGGGGAACAGCCCAAACCGCGGAGGUUUUCCUCUGCGGGGUUGUAGGGCCUUUCACAUGAGAGUCAUAAAGUGAUUUGCUAGUGGAACCGUUUGGAAAGUCGGGCCAUAGCGGGUGACAGCCCCGUACACGAAAGCGAAUUGCCUCUCGAAGGGUACCUGAGUAGGUCGGGUCACGUGGAACCCCGACUGAAUCUGCGGGGACCAUCCCGUAAGGCUAAAUACUCUCUGACGACCGAUAGCGAACUCAGUAUGGUGACUGAAAGAUGAGAAGAACCCCUGCUAGGGGAGGAAUGUGAACCUGAAACCAUACGCCUACAAGCGGUCGGAGCACGAUGACUCUUUGAGUCCGUGUGACGGCGUGCCUUUUGCAUAAUGAUCCGGCGAGUUACCGUUCGCGGCUUGGUUAAGGUCUUCCGGACCGGAGCCGUAGGGAAACCAAGUCUGAAUAGGGCGACAUUGUCGCGGGUGGUAGACGCGAAACUGCGUGAUCUACCCAUGGCCAGGUUGAAGCGCGGGUUAAACUGCGUGGAGGACCGAACCCACUUGGGUUGAAAACCGAGGGGAUGAGCUGUGGGGAGGAGUGAAAGUCUAAUCAAACGCAGAGAUAGCUCGUUCUCUCCGAAAUAGCUUGAGGGCUAGCCUCGAGUCACUACGUAUCGGGGGUAGAGCUACUGAAUCGGUUUGGGGCCCUUCCCGGGGUACCCUGCUGAAUCAAACUCCGAAUACCGAUACGACUAUCUCGGGAGUCAGUCCGCGAGGGAUAAGCUUCGCGGACGAGAGGGAAACAACCCAGAUCGCCUGCUAAGGUCCCCAAGUCGUGCUCAGUCACUAAGGAAGUUGAACUGCUGAGACAGCCAGGAUGUUGGCUUAGAAGCAGCCACCAUUUAAAAAGUGCGUAACAGCUUACUGGUCGAGCAGUUCUGCGCCGAUAAUGAACGGGAGUAAGCACGACACCGAAGCAGCGGGUUUCAUCAAUCUUCGGAUUGGUGGAGCGGUAGGAGAGCGCUGAACAUCAGAUACAAGCCGUACCGAAAGGAGCGGUGGUGGGGUGUUCAGGUGAUUAUGCCGGAAUGAGUAACGAUAAAGCAGGUGAGAAUCCUGCUCGCCGAAAGCCUAAGGUUUCCUGGGGAAGGUAAUUCCGCCCAGGGUUAGCCGGUUCCUAAGACGAGGCCGAAAGGCGUAGUCGAUGGAUAGCAGGUCAACAUUCCUGCGCCACUGAAGUGGACCGAUGGAGGGACGGCGUUUAGAGGGUGAGGGGACGAGUAGAAAUGUCCCUCGCCUGGUGGAGAGAUCGUCGUAGGCAAAUCCGCGACAACAAGAUCUCGAAACCGGGACAAGGACGCUUAUGUUGCUGAUGUCAUCCGAAGAACGUCCAAGAAAAGCUUCUCAGGGUUGAAGCUUCAGUGACCGUACUAAAACUGACACAGGUAGGCGAGACGAGAAGUCUAAGGCGCUCGGGAGAACACUGGUUAAGGAACUCUGCAAAAUGGCCCCGUAAGUUCGCGAUAAGGGGUGCCCUCUGGGGUUCACGCUCUGGGGGGCCACAGUAAAUCGGCUCCUGCGACUGUUUAUCAAAAACACAGGACUCUGCAAACACGUAAGUGGACGUAUAGAGUCUGACGCCUGCCCGGUGCCGGUAGGUUAAGGAAGACGGUUAGCCUUCGGGUGAAGCUGGCGACCGAAGCCCCGGUAAACGGCGGCCGUAACUAUGACGGUCCUAAGGUAGCGAAGUUCCUUGUCGGGUAAGUUCCGACCUGCAUGAAAGGCGUAACGACAGGAGCACUGUCUCAACCAGUGACCCGGUGAAAUUGUAGUCGUGGUGAAGAUGCCACGUACCCGCGGUUAGACGGAAAGACCCCAUGAACCUUUACUGCAGGCUGAUAUUGGGCUGUGGUAUGUCUUGUGUAGGAUAGGUGGGAGGCUAUGAACUCGGAACGCCAGUUUCGAGGGAGCCACUGGUGAAAUACCACCCUGGGCCUACUUUAGUUCUAACCCUGUCCCGUGAAUCCGGGCAGGGAACAGUUUCAGUUGGGCAGUUUGACUGGGGCGGUCUCCUCCAAAAGAGUAACGGAGGAGUCCAAAGGUACCCUCAGCCUGGUUGGCAAUCAGGCUUCGAGUGUAAAGGCACAAGGGUGCUUGACUGCGAGACUCAUAAGUCGAGCAGGUGCGAAAGCAGGGCUUAGUGAUCCGGUGGUCCCGUAUGGAAGGGCCAUCGCUCAUCAGAUAAAAGGUACUCUGGGGAUAACAGGCUUAUCGCUCCCGAGCGUCCAUAGCGGCGGAGCGGUUUGGCACCUCGAUGUCGGCUCAUCACAUCCUGGGGGUGGAGAAGCUCCCAAGGGUUUGGCUGUUCGCCAAUGAAAGUGGUACGUGAGCUGGGUUCAGACCGUCGUGAGACAGGUCGGUCCCUAUCUGCCGUGGGCGUUCGAAACUUGAGGAGGUUCUUCUUUAGUACGAGAGGAUUUGGAAGGACGUAGCUCUGGUGUUCCAGUUGUCGCGCUAGCGGCACGGCUGGAUAGCUAACUACGGAAAGGAUAAACGCUGAAAGCAUCUAAGCGUGAAGCCUGCUCCAAGAUAAGGUUUCGUAGCGACAUUGUCGCGAGAGUCCGCUGGAAGACUACCAGCUUGAUAGGCCGGAUGUGUAAGCGCAGCAAUGCGUUCAGCUAACCGGUACUAAUGGACGAAUGCUUGGCCAC
rnacentral:rRNA from 1 species